UGUAGCAAUACAAGGCAGACGGCUCAGUAACGCGUAGUCAACCUACCCUAUGGACGGGGAUAACCUCGGGAAACUGAGAAUAAUACCCGAUAGAACAUUAUACCUGGAAUGGUUUAUGUUUCAAAUAAUUUAUUGCCGUAGGAUGGGACUGCGGCCUAUCAGUUUGUUGGUGAGGUAAUGGCCCACCAAGACUAUUACAGGUACGGGCUCUGAGAGGAGUAGCCCGGAGAUGGGUACUGAGACACGGACCCAGGCCCUAUGGGGCGCAGCAGGCGAGAAAACUUUGCAAUGUGCGAAAGCACGACAAGGUUAAUCCGAGUGGUUUCUGCUAAAGGAACCUUUUGUCAGUCCUAGAAACACUGGUGAAUAAGGGGUGGGCAAGUUCUGGUGUCAGCCGCCGCGGUAAAACCAGCACCUCAAGUGGUCAGGAUGAUUAUUGGGCCUAAAGCAUCCGUAGCCUGCUUUGUAAGUUUUCGGUUAAAUCCAUACGCUCAACGUAUGGGCUGCCGGGAAUACUGCAAAGCUAGGGAGUGGGAGAGGUAGACGGUACUCGGUAGGAAGGGGUAAAAUCCUUUGAUCUAUUGAUGACCACCUGUGGCGAAGGCGGUCUACCAGAACACGUCCGACGGUGAGGGAUGAAAGCUGGGGGAGCAAACCGGAUUAGAUACCCGGGUAGUCCCAGCUGUAAACUAUGCAAACUCAGUGAUGCAUUGGCUUGAUGCCAAUGCAGUGCUGCAGGGAAGCCGUUAAGUUUGCCGCCUGGGAAGUACGUACGCAAGUAUGAAACUUAAAGGAAUUGGCGGGGGAGCACCACAAGGGGUGAAGCCUGCGGUUCAAU
rnacentral:rRNA from 1 species